AGGACGAACGCUGGCGGCGUGCUUAACACAUGCAAGUGGAGCGACGAACCAGGCUUCGGCCUGGGGCAAAGCCGCGAACGGGUGAGUAACACGUGGGUAACCUGCCCCGACGAUCGGGACAACCCGGGGAAACUCGGGCUAAUACCGAAUAUGCUCGUCUCACACCAGUGGGACGCGUAAAGGAAGCUUCGGCCUCCGCAUCGGGAUGGGCCCGCGGCCCAUUAGCUUGUUGGUGAGGUAACGGCUCACCAAGGCUGCGAUGGGUAGCUGGUCUGAGAGGACGAUCAGCCACACUGGGACUGAGACACGGCCCAGACUCCUACGGGAGGCAGCAGUGGGAAUCGUUGCGCAAUGCGACGAAAGCG
rnacentral:rRNA from 1 species